AUGGCUUCAAAUUCAAAAUUCAUUCCUACUUCUGUCUUUUUACUUGUUCUUUUCUUCUUGCUUCUCAUGAGGGAGACUUCUGGUUGUAGUUCUUCAUUUGCAUGCUUUGAUGUUAAUGGAGGAAGUCUCAAACCUAGUCAUAACAGGAAGAUGCUGUCUAGUUUGAAGGUUAAGAAAGCUAUGUUGAAGGUUAGUCUUGAAGGAUCUUCAACAAAGAUGAAGAGAACUGAACAGGAAGUGAUUGGAGAGUUGAGGAAGGUUCCUACAGGUCCAGAUCCACUUCAUCAUCAUGGCAUUGGCAAUCCUAUUAAGCCUGAAACUCCUUAA